rnacentral:lncRNA from 1 species
AAAAAAUGACAUACCUUAGAUUCGUUGUAAACGAAGAUGAACCCAUGUCAAUUUUUACCUACAGACAGAACAUAGAAGAAUGAAUGAAUUGAAAGUCUUCUUUGUUACAGUAGAAAAAUCUAGAUAUUUCAACCAUUUAUUAUUAUUAUUAUUAUUAUUAUUAUAGGGAAAAAAAAGAAAAAAAAAUUAUUAACCAAACCAACUCAAAAGAGGGUCAAGUGUGAAAACUAAUGAGACAAAAAUAAAUAGUGAAUCAAGGUUUCUCUCAUUUAUUAAGAGUGAAAAAAAUCUAGAUAUUUCAACCAUUUAUUGCUACUAUAUUAUAAAUAGACACAAAAAAAAAAUUAAAAUUAUUACCUCAUCGAUUAAAGUGAAAACAUAGACCAAUUUAUAAGAAUUUGAACUACCCCUCUUAAUAAUGUUGACAUUUUAAAAUAGAACUUUAAAUCUUAACAUAGUAUUAGAACUCAUUAAAUUCUAAUGAGCGAUUCUAUCCGAUCCGAUCAAAACUAAAAAAUGAACAUACGAAUUUCAAGAUUGGUCUGCUCAAAUGAAUCACCAUCUUGUGGGGACAUAUUAAAAGUAUAAAAUCCUACAUCAAUUAAAAAUGAAAACAUAAACCAAUUUAUAAGGGUUGUACCCCUUCUUUUAAUAAAGUUGACAUUUUAAGAAGGAACUCCAAAUCUUUACAAAGUAGAUAAUAAACUUACCUAGAUGAUAUACAAGAUAUGGUUUUUAAUCCUGGUUAUGAAUUUAGAUCUACUGCAGGAAUCCUUUGUUAUUAGUUGGUCCUUUUUAUUGCUAAAACUAGUGGCCGAUCCAAAGCAAGAAGAUCAAACAGUACUUUUUUUUCUUUUUUCUUUUUUUCUUUUAUUCCCUUUCUGCUGCCCACGCUAAGUCGCUAAGGGCAGCCGUCUCACAGUAAUUUAUGAAGCCCGUUUAUACCCACACUCACAUGCACGGAUUUCGUUCUCUGAAGUGUGAAUUGUGUUUCUUUCAUGACUUUGACUACUGUUUCUGUUGAGUGUUGUCACACCCGUCCUAUCCACCUGGACCGAUGGCCCACUCAUCCUGAUCCCUUGGCAUUCCUGCCGAGGUGGCAUACAUUGCCGAGGUGGGGUAUAUCCGAAGUGCUUCAAGCCGAGGUCCACCCGCCGAGGCACCUUGAUCCGAUGUACGCGAGUUUGCUGAAGUCCAACUACCGAGCCCCAUGACCCGAGGCAUGGAACCUGUUGAAUGUAGUUGAGGUCCUCAAAUGGAAACAUCUGUCAAAUGGUCGAAGCCCCGAAACUGAUGCACGAGUCUCUCCUCCGCAAGGAGCUUCCUCCACAGUCACUUCUCCCAAGAGAUCGCCUACUCAGGGAUCUUAUUUGAAUGACUGAUGGGACGUUUGUCACAAGCAUAAAGAUCAAGUCUUGUCACUAGUAUAGAGGACCUGUGCAAGCAAUAAAUGCGCCAUAAGCUAACAAGCCAAGCCGCAUACUAAGAAAAGACGUUUGAACUAAAGAGAUGAGGACACGUGCCACUUCAUUCAAGGGCUCCCAUUUCAUAUGUAUCACUAUAAAUACUUCCAUUGUGUAAUGUCAAGGGGAAUGCAAGAAUCAAUACUAAAUACUACAUUUACUCAACUCUCUCUCAUUUACUCGCAAUACACUAGAUCAAGUAUAUUCAUUUCCACAUAUAUAUUUAUGAGCACCGGUUGAUAAUUAUUGUAUAAUCGGAUUACGAACAACCCGUCGGAUUCCAAACAUCACCGUCCCGCGCCGUUGGGCUACUCCCACGCCCCUUUAAACCGCUCGUUUUAGACCGUCCACGUAUCUUAGCGUGUUGGACAUUCGCCCACGCAAGCGCGGAUGGGACCGGCAUCUGUUGGCGCAAUUUUUGGGGUCAACAGUUUCUAUUGACAUUACUCAUUGUUGUAUCCAUGGUGAAAGUUGGUAAUUUGUAAUUGAAUUAUCUCAGCGAUGAUUAUUUUGUAAUUUCUACUGUAUGGUAAAUUGAAAACGAAGAACAAUAUUACCUUAGAGAUCGUUUUGCUUCGAUAAUUGCAUUUCUAAGUGCUUUCCAGUCUCCUUCGUGGAAGGAUAUUUUUCAAGGAUGAUAGAGUCCAUGUGCUUAAUCUGGAUUGUUAGGUUGGCAGAGGAAAAUAUGAAAAAGAAGAACUUUAAAAUAAAUAAAAGACUGUUUAUGACUUCACUAAAGAGUAAUGAUAUUUGAUGUUUAAGCUGCAUUGUAGAUCAACAAGAAGCAACUGUCCAAAAGUUUUUCAUAAAAAGAAAGGAAUAAUUUUUAGUAGAUAUAGCCCUUGUUUGAGCCCCAUUUUUGUGGAGAAAAUAAAUUUUUGAAUAGUGUAUUGAUGGAAAAUGUGUGGUUAAAAAAUAAGGAAAAUUUUUUUAUUUGCGUAUAAUAUUAUUUUAUUCAAGAAUGUGUGGUUGAAAUAUUAUCAAAUCACUGUUAAAGAAUAUAUUUUGAUGGAAAAAUAGAGCUCAAAUAAGGGCAUAAAUAUUUUCCAGUGCUUAGUCCCCUUAAAAAAAAUAAUUAGCUUAGAGAUGUUUUGGCCCUUUUGUUCAAUAAUUGCAUUGAUAAUUCUUAGUGCUUUCCGACCUCCUCCGACUUGAUGGGCCCCUUUGGUUCAAUAAUUGAAUUUUGUUCCUAAUUUCCUUCCAUGAAGGUUCUUGGUAAAAACCCCCCAUUUGCCCCUAUUAUUUUAAAUUUUAAUGGGCGAAAUAACAUUUUUUUGGAGAAUAGAAAGUUGAAAAAUAAGAAAAAAAUUUCGAUUUACGUAUAAUAUAAUUUUAUGAAAGAUUGUGUGAUUAAAAAUAGGAAAAAGAAAAAUAAUCUACUGCUUUCUCCCACAUCUUUAUGCUAUUGUAGCAUAUUCAUUCAUCCUUGCUCCUUGCACCAUGCAUUUUAGGAUUUUCAAGAUUAUUCUAUUCAACGUCUAUUGCAUUAAUUUCAAUAGAAUCGUGGUUUUAAUUAACAUCUAUUGUAUUGUUGCAACUUUCCAUGUUGCGAUGUGAUAAUUAAUGGAAAGUUACAAUGAAAAAAACUUCAAAUUUCAGUUACAAUUAAAAUAUGGUGCAAUAAAUAAUUUAUUUUAUUUUUUUAUUUUAUUUUAUUUUUUGGUUGUUGUAGCGUAGACUGAGAAAAUGGAGUCGGACAAAAAGAAGAAAAACUGAGUGAGAGGACAAGAUGGAUGGUAAAAGCAGAAGAAAAUAAUUUCUUUAAACAACAUUCAUUUUGCUCCCGUUUGGCCCCUAUUAAAUUCAAUUACAUUACAUUUCAUUUUCUCUCUUAUUUUCAACUACACAAUCUCCCAUAAAAUAAUAUUACAUGUAGAUAGAAAAUUAUAAUCACCUAGCAAAAUAGUCGAUCUAUCAUCUAAUAUUAUAAAUAGGAAGUUGAGAUCGAUGUUUUUAUCUGUAUGUUGUAACCAAUCUUUCCAAAUAAAUAAAGAAAUCUCAAAGAAAUUUGAUAAUAUAAAGAAGAAAGAAUGCUGUUUCAAGAUUGAAACAAAAAAUUAAUCAAUUUGCAUUAUCAACUCUAUGAUAUUUCCCAAUUGACAAUUACCAGUUUAUAUAUUUUUAAAAGUUGUUGAAUAACAAUCGAUACUGUAAUUUCAUUAUAAUUGAUAUAAAUUACUGGUACUUCCAUUCUGAAAGAAAGUUUGAGGAUGAGAUCGCUAAAAAUAUAAGAGGGGGAACCUCUAUGGUAAAAAAAAUACUCUCUUCAGUUCAAUAAUUGCAUUGGUAAUUUUAGCGCUUUCCAACCUCUUUCCAUCCUUUAAAGGUUGACUUUAAGCUUUUUAAGAGUAGACAAGUGUUUUGAGUGAUAGGCUCAAUUGGAGGAGAUUCGUAGUCAUAACCAUCUGAUCUGAAACAAUUCAGGUAAAUGCAUACAACUUUUUUCAAUUAGCGUUUUGUUAAGAAUAUUAUUUUUAGUUUCUUCAAUUUUAUGUGUUCCCCUAAGAGAGAGUCCCAUAAGCUUACAUGAUACCUCUUGUUAUAUAUUUAAUUUAUAUUUAUAGGUAUUUUACCAUUGAAAUCAAUUCUUUAUUUUUUUUAUUAAAUCGAUCCUGGUGUCCCGCAAAUCCGAUCCUUCCUCAAUUCAUAUGCAGUAUGCCCACCCUAUAGGUAAAAAUAAGAGAGAGAAGAUGUGUGAUCCAUUUUUCGUACAAGAAUUCUUUUUUCAAAUUGUAUUGAGCACUCACAACAGUUAAUAUAUUCUUUUCGAUGUUAUUAAAAUCUAUCAUGUCCAACCGAUUGAACCGAUAAAAUCAAGUCGAACACGGGCAUGUCAACCUUCAAAAUCCACUAUUUAAAACCUAUCCUAAAAUUGGUGAAUCCUCAAUCGGAAUUUAUUGAAUCAAUCGCAAUGUUUUCAAGUUUCAAAGGUCAAUCUUAAAUAAAAAAUAAAGAGUCCGUUUUGUUUGCGUUUCAAUUUUCUAUUUCGGGGGUUUCAUUUUAAAUUGCUAAAAAAACACGUUCGAUCUGUCAAAUUUGUACAUUUUAAAAUUGAUAAUUUUUUCAAUAUUUAUUUUUAGCUACAAAAGUAAAACAAAGGAAAUUAAUAAAUUACGCUAACAGAAUAUACAAAAAAAAAAUGAAAUUAAUGACAUGAACUGUAUUUUUUAUAGCUCUUUUAAAUAUUUUUAGAAUUUUUUAUUUAAAUAAUUAAUAAGGGUUUGAACUAUUUUUAUUUUUUAAUUUUCAACAAUAUUUUCGGAAAUUUAGUUCCUCAAAAUUUUUAUUUUCUAGAAAAAAUUUCAACAGAUUUUAGAUUUUAUUUUUUUUAAAAUUUUUAUUCUUAGAAUUUUUGAAUCUCUCUUCAAAUUUUUUUUUUUUUUUAUCGUUUUAGAAUUUUAGAAUUUUAUUUUUGAAUUUGAUUUUUCUUGAAUUUCAAAAUUAUAAUUUUUUAUAAUUUUAUAUUUUUCCUUUUUCAAAAUUUCAUUUUUAAAUAAUGUUUUAUUUAAACGCUUAUAUUUUCAUGUUUUUGACAUUUUUAUUGUAAACACUCAAAUCAUCAAAAAUAUGUUUUAUAUUAUAACUUAUAAACUUAAACUUUAAAAAAAAAAAAAAACUACGUAAAGGACAAAAAACCUGGACCAAACAAAAUUUGAGUGUUUUCGUAAAAUUCAAAACUGAACUAGUGUUUAGCAAAAUUAGCAGGCAUACAGUGACUACACACGAGCAAGCUCAAUUUGUAGCCUCUCCCCCUCCUGUAACAAUUGUUGAUUCCCAUGUGGGACUAGUGCUCCCAACAAUUGGGAGGGAAAUGAAAUCAACUCCAUUAAAAAGGUUGGAACACUCUGCUAUAAUUUAUAUGAAUUUAUAAAAUUAAUAUACCUAUAAAAUAAGUAUAAUUUUGAAUUUUACAUAAUGUUAUAAAUAUCUUGUAUUUAUUUAUUUAUUUAAUAAUUUCAUCGAUUCAAUUCGAUUCGACCUAGGGAUGUCAAUUCGACUCAAACGUAUCGUAACUAGACCAGUAAAAAGUCCAAGCCAACUUGGGCUGACCCUCAUUUUAUGACAACGAUUCGAACUUGAGCUACCCUGUGUCAUAGGCUCGUUCAGUCAUAGAAAAAGAUUUACAUAGCAUAUUCAAUUUUUCUUUUUUUUUUGUUGUUAACAACUACGUGUAAUAUACCAAAUCAGUAUUCGAUGCUAACUAAAACUAAGAAUAGAGAAAACACUGCAAAAAUGCACAUACCUUGCAAUGUUAGUGUAAUAUACCAAAUCAGUAUUCGAUGCUAACUAAAACUAAGAACAGAGAAAACACUGAAAAAAGGCAUAUACCUUGCAAUGUUAAAAAUUGAAACAUAAUUUAACAUAAUAUACGAGUAUAUUAACUAUUUGAUGUUUAAACUGCAUUGUAGAUCAACAAGAAGCAACGGCCCAAAUGUUUUUCAUAAAAAGAAAGGAAUAAAUUUUAGUGAAAUAUAACUAUUUUCCGGUGCUUGGUCCACUAAAAAUAUAAUAAUUAGCUUAGAGAUAUUUUGUCCCUUUUGUUCAAUAAUUGCAUUGAUACUUCAUGGAAAAAGAUGCAAGUACAGGGCUGUCAAGUGAGAGCGGAGGUGGGGGCCAACUUUUUUUAAUGUGUGUGGGGUCCAACUCCUACAGUGAGGCCCUUGUGAACCGACCUCCUAUACGUGGAGCUCGGUCCUUCAGGAAAACUUUCCAACCUCCUCCUGACAUGACAGGCCCUUCCUUUGGUUCAAUAAUUGAAUUUUGCUCUUAAUUAAGGUUCUUGGUAAACGUGAGUCUACUUCCUUGUUUGGCCCCCACUUUGUAGAAAAGAAAAUGGAUGGAAUAGUAUUUUUUUAAAAAUUAAUGGUUGAAAAAGAAAGAAAAGUUUUCUGUUCACGUGUAAUAUAAUUUUAUAGAAAAUUAUGUGGUUGAAAAUAAAAGAGAGAAAAACGAAAUAUAAUGAAAAGAAAAUUAAUGGGGCCAAACGUACUAAAAAAAUGUAUAUGACACCCUAUAGCUUUCUCCCACUUCUUUAUUCUAUUGUAACAUAUUCAUUUAUCUUUGCUCCUUGCCCCGUUUGUUUUAGGAUUUUCAAGAUUAUUCUAUUCAAAGUAAAAAUAUUAUAAUCGAUAAAAUUUCCAGUGAUUAUUCUUAUUAAAUAAUUAUUAAUAAAUGAUUAUUUGAAUCAAUUUUGCAUCUUUGGUCCCGAAGCGUUUCGAGUGAUUGACUCGAUUGGAGGAGAUUUGGUCCCAUACUCACAACGUCCAAUAUAAUAUUUAUUUUUGUCAAAUCAAAUCACUAGACUUUGUUAGGGGAUAAAUAAAUAUUUUUAUAAUUUUCUUUUGCAUUAAUUUUGAUAGAAUCGUGGUUUUAAUUAACGUCUAUUGUAUUGUUGCCACGUUCCAUACCGUGACGUCAUAAUAAAUAGAAGGUUACAAUGAAAAAACUUCAAAAUCUUAAUGACAAUUAAAAUAUGGUAAUAAAUCUUUUAUUUUAUUUUAUUAUUUUUAUUUUUUGUAUAUUACAAUAUCUAAUUUUUAGACAUGUAAUGUUUUAAAAUUGUUCCAUUAUAGAAAAUGAAGUGUGAAACGAGAAAAUAGGGUUGAACAAAAAGAAGAAAAAGUGAGUGGAAAGACAAUCGUCAAUGGGAAGUUGUGAUCUAUGUUUUUAUCUGUAAAAUGUCACCAAUCUUUCCAAAUAAACAAAGAAAUCUCGAAGAAAAUUGAUAAUAUAAAAGGAGGAUGCUGUUUCAAGAUUGAAACAAACCAUUAAUCAAUUUGCAUUAUCAACUCUAUGAUGUUUCCCAAUUGACAAUUACUAGUUUAUAUGUUUUUAAAAUUUAUAUUAUUAUUAAAAGUAGUUGAAUAACAAUCAAUCCAGUAAUUUUUUAUAAUUGAUAUAAAUUACUAUGACAUCCAAGUUUGAGGAUGUGAUCGCCAAAACUAUAAGAUUGGGGGCCGCUUUGGUGAAAAAAAAAAAAUAAUAAAGAAAGAAAGAAAAAAAGAAAAAUUCUUCUUUGCUCCUUGCCCUGUUUAUUUUGGAAUAUUCCUCCCAUUUUGUUUGGAUUUCACCUCAUUCAUAUAAUUAUUAUUAUGAUCGUUAAAUGUUUCAUUGAUUAAAUAAUUAUUAAUAUUUGAUUCUUACUUGUUUUGAUCUGGAUCAAUCUCUCUGCUUUGGCCCUGAAGUGUUUUGAGUGAUAGGCUUAAUUGGAGGAGAUUCGUAGUCUUCGUUACUAAUUUGGACUCAACUGCAACCAUCUAAUCUGAAACAAUUCAGGUAAAUAUGUACAACUUUUUCAAUUAGCAUUUUGUUAAGAAUAUUAUUUUUGGCUUCUUCGAUGUUAUUUUUUCCCCUAAGAGAGAGUCCUAUAAGCUUGCGUGAUACCAUUUGUUAUAUGUUUAACUUGUAUUUAUAGGUAUUUUACCAUUGAAAUCAAAAAUUUUAUUUAUUUUUUAAACAGAUUCCGACAUCCGGCAAAUCCAACCCUUUAGGUAAAAAUAAGAGAGAGAAGACGCAUGAUCCAUUUUCCAUAAACGAAUUCUUUCAAAUCCUUGUAUCGAGUAUUCACAACAGUUAGUAUAUAUAUAUUUUUUUUAAUGUAUCAAAAUCUAUCAUGCUCGGUCAGUUGAACCAAUAAAAUAGUCGAACGCAUGCGUUUCAACCUUUAAUAUCCACUAUUUAAAACCUGUUAUAAAAUCAGUGAAUCUUCAAUCGGAACUUGAUUGCUAUGGUUUCAGAUUUUUCAAGGUCAAUCUUAACUCAAAAAUAAAGCGCCUGUUUCGUUUGCAUUUCAAUUUUCAAUUUUCAGUUUUCAGUUUUCUAUUUUAAUGUUUCGGUUUAAAUUGUUGAAAACACUUUUGAUUUGUCAUACAUGUACAUUAUAAAAUUGAUAAGUCUUUCAAUGCUUAUUUUUUGCUACAGAAGUAAAAGAAAACUAACUAAUAAAUUAAGUUGUCAGAAUAUAGAAAAUAAAAAAAAUGAAAUUAAUGACAUGAACUGAAUUUUCUAUAUGUGCUCUUUUAAAUAAUUUUUAUAAUUUUUAUUUAAAUAAUUAAAGGGUUUGAACUGUUUUUAUUUUUUAAUUUUAUAUAAUUUUCAUUUUUCAGCAAUUUUUUGGAAUUUUAUUUCUUUAAAAUUUUUUAUUUUUUUAGAAAUUUAUUUUUAACAAAGUUUAGAUUUUACUUUUUUUAUUUUUUUAUUAUUUUUGAAUUUCUCUUCAUAUUUUUUAAUAAAUUUAGGAUUUUAAACUUUAUAUUUACUAGAAUUUCAAUAAUUUUUUAAAAUUUUAUAUUUUUUGUUUUUCAAAGUUUCAAACUUUUAUUUUUAAAUAAAAUUUUAUUUAAACGCUUAUUUUUCAUAUUUUUAACAUUUUCAUUGUAAACGCUCAAACCGUCUAAAAUAUGUUUUAAAUUAUAUAUUAUANNNNNNNNNNNNNNNNNNNNNNNNNNNNNNNNNNNNNNNNNNNNNNNNNNNNNNNNNNNNNNNNNNNNNNNNNNNNNNNNNNNNNNNNNNNNNNNNNNNNNNNNNNNNNNNNNNNNNNNNNNNNNNNNNNNNNNNNNNNNNNNNNNNNNNNNNNNNNNNNNNNNNNNNNNNNNNNNNNNNNNNNNNNNNNNNNNNNNNNNNNNNNNNNNNNNNNNNNNNNNNNNNNNNNNNNNNNNNNNNNNNNNNNNNNNNNNNNNNNNNNNNNNNNNNNNNNNNNNNNNNNNNNNNNNNNNNNNNNNNNNNNNNNNNNNNNNNNNNNNNNNNNNNNNNNNNNNNNNNNNNNNNNNNNNNNNNNNNNNNNNNNNNNNNNNNNNNNNNNNNNNNNNNNNNNNNNNNNNNNNNNNNNNNNNNNNNNNNNNNNNNNNNNNNNNNNNNNNNNGAUAAAUGAUUUUCUUGAAAUUUUUAUUUUUUUGUUUUGGCAAUGAAAACAAAUUUCAUCCCCAAUACCAAUAAAUUAUAUCCCUUUAUUUGACAAUUUUCAUGUAAAACAAAGUCAAAAGGACAUCAAAAAACACUUUAAUUUAAACAUUUUUCACGUGAAAAAUUAUACCAAUCAAACACAAUAAUUUACAAUUCUCAAGAAAAUAAUUGCUCAUCAAUUCAAUUCCCUAAAAUUCAUUUUCUUUCCACCCAAAUUUCACCUUUGCAAUCAAAUGGACCCUAAAUGUUUUAACAAAUUUAUCAGAGUUUGCCCUGUCCAUCCAGGGACCCACAUCAAUGCCCUAUUCGAACAGGCCGACGUGACCCAAUUCGAACAACAUUAUUCAAUUUAGCAUGCAUAUAGUGACCACAUACCAGCAAGUUCUAUUUACAUCCCCUCUCUUUCCCCUAUAACAAUUGUUGAUUUCCACGUGGGACUGGUGCUCCCAACAAUUGGGAUGGAAAUGAAAUCAACUCCAUGAAAAUGUAGGAACACUUUGUUAUAAUUUAUGUGAAUUUUUUAAAUUAAUAUACUACCUAUAAAAUAAGUAUAAUUUUGAAUUUUACAUAAUGUCAUAAAUAUUUUUUGAUUUUAUUUAUUUAUUUAAUAAUUUAAUCAAUUCAAUUCGGUUCGGCCUUUAACCCUUGAUCUUUUAUUUUAUUUCUUUCGAUGUUUGGGCCAAUUUUUUAAAUGUUGCUAUGUUUCUCAACAAUUUAAAAAUAUAUAGUAUAAUUCAAAGAAACACCGUAAAUAAAAAAAAAUUAUUACAUCAUGUCAUUAAAAAUAGUAAUAAUAGAAAAUGACACACACACUCUCAACCAUUAUAUUUGGAAAAUAAAAGAGGGGUAAAAUUGACUUUGCACCAUUUGGUGCAAGGAUUACGCUAUGUGUACAUUGAAGGUAUAUACAAUCCUUUAUGCCUCCCUCAAAGGGGGAGGGGCUCACGCAUAAUAAAUUAUUCAUGGCCCCCCUCCAUAUAAGAGGGGUGUCACCAUAUGUGUACAUCCAUUAUGAAAGUUGGUAAAUUGUAAUUGAAUUAUCUCAGAUGAUUACUUAGGCGUUUGUUUCUCAUUUUUGUAAAAUUGAGAAUGAAAAAUAUAAUCGUUAUGGGUUCCACACAAAAGAUAGAAAUUCAAAUUUGGUGGCUUGAUUUGAUGAAUAACGGUCAUAUUUUUCAUUUUAAUGAGAAAAAAAAUGUUAAACAAACAGGGGCUUCUUAAUUUCUACUGCAAGGUAAAUUGAAAAAGAAGAAUAAUAUUACCCUAGAGACGUUGGUUUUGGUUCAAUAUUUGCACUUCCACGUGCUUUCCAAUCUCCUUCCUGGAAGGAUAUUAUUGCUCAAAGAUGACAGAAUCCAUGUGCUUAAUCUUGAUUGUUAGGUUGGCCUUGACUUCUGAGUCAUUUUGAAGUCAUUUCUUCUUAGUAAACAUGCUAUAUCAUAGAUGAUAUCGUCCUAUACUAAAAAGAAUUCACUCAAACUAGGAGUGGGUAUAUUAACUGUGGAACCUACCCAAACAGACCUGAUGGGUUGGUUUCAUGGGACGUCAGGUCGAUUUUCGAGUUUGCUUGGACUCAAUCAGGAAAAGUUGAUUUAAAGUUCAAAAAAAAAAAAAAAUAUAUAUAUAUAUACUGGGAUAAAGAUAAAGUAUUUUGUGAAAUAAAAAUUAAGAAUCCAGAAUAUAUUAUUAAAACUAAAAAUAUUGAAGCUACAAAUCAAGAUCAGGAAGAUUUUAGAAUGCAUAUAAAUGAUUUAUUAAAAUUAGGAGUUAUCAGAAAAUCAGAAAGUCCUCAUAGGUCAGCAGCCUUUAUAGUUAGAAAACAUUCAGAAAUUAUUAGAGGAAAAAGUAGAAUGGUAAUUAAUUAUAAAUGAUUAAAUGAUAAUACUAUAGAUGAUGCUUAUAAUAUCCCAGAUAAAACAGUUUUAAUAAAUAAGAUACAAGAUUGUAAUAUUUUUAGUAAGUUUGACUUAAAAUCAGGUUUUUGGCAAGUUAAGAUGCACCCAGACUCAAUUGAAUGGACAGCCUUUACUAGUCCAGAAGGACAUUUUGAAUGGCUUGUAAUGCCAUUUGGUUUAAAAAAUGCCCCUAGCAUAUUUCAAAGAAAAAUGGAUAGCAUUUUUAGUAAACAUAAUAAAUUUAUUAUAGUUUAUAUAGAUGAUAUUUUAGUAUUUAGUAAAAAUAGAAGAGAACAUAGAGGUCAUUUACAAAUUCUUUUUUCAGAAUUUAUCAGACAUGGUUUAAUUAUAAAUAAAAAGAAAAUGUUUUUAUUUAAAGAAUAUAUAGAAUUUUUAGGAGUAAAUAUAGGAAGAGGAAAAAUAGAAUUACAACCUCAUAUAGCUCAGAAAGCUUUAGAAUUCCCAGAUAAACUUGAAGAUAUUAAACAAUUACAAAAGUUUUUAGGACUUGUUAAUUAUGCUAGACCCUUUAUUAAGAAUUUAGGAAAAAUUGCAGGACCUUUAUAUGGUAAAACUUCACCAAAAGGUCAAAGAUACUUUAAUAUUGAAGAUGUUAAAUUAGUCCAAAAAAUAAAAGAAAAAUUAAAAGAUUUACCUAAAUUAUCUAUGCCAUUAGAAACAGAUUACUUAAUUAUUGAGACAGACGGUAGUAUAACAGGAUGGGGAGCAAUACUUAUUGCAAAACCCAACAAAUAUUCAGAUAAAGAUACUGAAAAAAUAGUAAGAUAUAAUAGUGGAAAUUAUAAAGAAAAAGGUAAUAUUAGUAGUAUAGAUUUAGAAUUACUUGCAGUAAAUUAUGCAUUAGACUCUUUUGAAUUGUUUAUUAUUUCUAAAAAAGAAAUUACCUUACGAACAGACUGUGAAGCAAUUGUUAGUUUUGUUAAUAAAAUGAAAUUAGAAAAUAAAAGAAGUAAUAGAAGAAGAUGGUUAAAUUUUAUAGAUAGAAUUACUAAUACUGGAUUAGUAAUUAAUUUUGAGCAUAUUAAAGGUAGUGAUAAUCAGAUUGCAGAUAUUUUAAGUAGAAUAAUUAAAAAUAAAGAUUAUGAAUAAUAUUUCUAGAAAGAUGCAAAGACCAAGAGGUCCCAGACCAGGAUUGCCAAUUGUUGGCAGUUCAAGUUCUCAGACAAAUAUACUACAGACUCAUGAUAAGUUAAGAUUUGGUAAUAUAGAACUCAUUUGUUUUCCUAAUAGCAAUAUUAGUUUUAAGACAUUUUCUCAUAUUUCAGUUACAAAGGCAGAAAAAUGUAUUUUAGACAACUUAUGGAUUUCUUAUAAUAAGAAUCCAAAAGACCAAAAAUAUUUUUUAGCAUGUUUAAAUGCUCUUUCAGAACAUUUUAGCCAAGAUCAUAAACAAUUUAAAUGUUAUGUUGUUUUAAAUGGAAGACUUCCAGGAAUUUACCAUACUUGGUUAGAAGUUUCAGAUUGUAUUAAGAAUUUUCCAAAUCCUCUUUACAAAGGAUUUUAUUCAAUUUCAGAAGCAUUAGAAGAAUGUAGAAAAUUUAUAGGUGCAAAUUAUUUUAUUGCUCCUUCUUUAAAAAAUGUUUCAGACCAACCUUUAGAUUAUUUUUCAAGAUUUUGUGAUCAUUGUGAAUGUAUGACAAAGAACUUUAAGAUUUUAAAUGAAUCAAACCAGACUUUACAACAAGAGAAAUUAGUUUUACAAAAGAAAAUCUCUGAUUUAGAACAAGAGAUUAUUAAUUUAAAAAUUUCAAAUCCUAUCUCUCAGACAGAAGCAGGUACUAUAGAGCCCAAGAAUUCUAUAGCUAGUCCAGCUCAAACGGAAGCUGGUAAAGACUUAUCAAAUCCGUUUAUGGUUCUGGGCUUACCAAAAGAUCAACAGACUCAGGGGACUGUUGAUUCCUCUACUUCUCAUAUUCAACAGGCUGAAAAUCCUGUUAUAAAAGAACAGACACAGCAGACUGAUAAUUCUGCUACAAGACUUAUUAGUCCAAUAGAUCUUAAACAGAAAAGCUCAAUUAAUUUUCCAGGAUCAUUUCAAUCAGCUCAAGACCCAGAACAAAUUUCUCAGUCAGAUAUUAGAAAGAUCAAAGAAAUGUUUGAAAAGAUUGAAGAGAUUCAGCAACAAGUUAAACAAAGUACGACGAAGAAAAAGAAAUUACAAAUUAGAAAGAAAAAUAAAGGUAAAAAGAAAAUUGAACAAGAAAGAGAUUUGGAUGAAUUCAAAGAUAAUAAUUCAGAAGAUAACCCAGAAGACUUUACUGACGGAGGAGAUUCUUUAGACAGUAUUGGCAGACAUAAUUAUGCAACAAGAUAAGAGAUUUUUCAGACAGGUGUAAAGAAACAAUCAGACAGCUGGAGAAAAGACAAGAAACCUCUAGAAAAAGAAUCUAUUGAUUGAAGAUUUUUGUCCAGACGUCAAGACUUUUGAAGGUUUUUUACUAUUUACUUUUUGAAAAAUUUGUAAAAGAAUCUUACUAUUUUAUAAAGUAAGAUUUGAUAGGAUAGUUUUUACUAUUUACUUUUUGACGUUUUGAAAAAAGCAAAGAUUCCUUGCUUUUAGAUAACGUCUAUCUUAUCUUUUCCCUCCUAUAAAAGGAGAUCAUUCUUUCAUCUGUAAACACACAAGAAAAUUUAUACAAUACAAGUUCUUAGUUCUCUCAAAAA